rnacentral:rRNA from 1 species
AGUUCGUGGAGUGAUCUGUCUGCUUAAUUGCGUUUCACUAAGGGCCUAUAAUUUAACGUGUGUUGCGGCACUUUGACCCCUCUUCGCGGAGCGUGCGUCUUAGCUUGUUUAGCUCACACAAUUAGGUCCUGAAAGCAACGAACGUGACCGCAACCUCUUGUUGCCUUUAUACCAAACACAGUCUGACCUUCUUCACUGAAGGGCUGCCGUGAAAAAAGGCUUUUUAAACUAGAGGGACCGCUGUUACUUUCUUAAACCAGAGGAAGGUUGCGGCAAUAACAGGUCU